rnacentral:rRNA from 1 species
GAUGAACGCUGGCGGCGUGCCUAAUACAUGCAAGUCGAGCGAACGGACGAGAAGCUUGCUUCUCUGAUGUUAGCGGCGGACGGGUGAGUAACACGUGGAUAACCUACUUAUAAGACUGGGAUAACUUCGGGAAACCGGAGCUAAUACCGUAUAAUAUUUUGAACCGCAUGGUUCAAAAGUGAAAGACGGUCUUGCUGUCACUUAUAGAUGGAUCCGCGCUGCAUUAGCUAGUUGGUAAGGUAACGGCUUACCAAGGCAACGAUGCAUAGCCGACCUGAGAGGGUGAUCGGCCACACUGGAACUGAGACACGGUCCAGACUCCUACGGGAGGCAGCAGUAGGGAAUCUUCCGCAAUGGGCGAAAGCCUGACGGAGCAACGCCGCGUGAGUGAUGAAGGUCUUCGGAUCGUAAAACUCUGUUAUUAGGGAAGAACAUAUGUGUAAGUAACUGUGCACAUCUUGACGGUACCUAAUCAGAAAGCCACGGCUAACUACGUG